UGUCCAUUCUCAAUGCCUUCCCACCCAGCGCUGAGCCCCACUUGGUGAAGGCAAUGCCUGUCAUGUUCACCACAAUAUCCCCUCCCCCAUCACCACGACUGGUCCACAGUGAUGCUCAAAAAAGAUCUGUUGGUAGGCAAUGGGAAGGUGCAUUCAUGUCAUCCUGCAGGCGGAAUUCUCCACGAGUUUUGAGCAGCCUCGGGUUUCCCACCACCUCCAAAUCAUGGAAGACACACGGCAGAGCCCGCGGAGCCAUGGCCAGCCCUUCCAGCAGCUCCGAAGCCACUGGCAAGCCCCGAGGCAGGGAUGGCAGUCCCAGGAUGGGGGAGGAGGACGUCCCUCCCGAAGAGAAGAGGCUGGGGCUGUAGCUGGAGGGGGGAAGCGCACAGCCCGAGGACUGCGAGGACGGGGAGGACCCGCCGCUGCCAGGCAGGAAGGAGACCGGCACCCAGACAGGUGGCGACGGCAAAGGAGCAGCAUGGGCAGCCCUCCUCGCCAUGGGCAGGAUCAGAGCCCCCCCGCCCAGUCUUGGGGUUGCUCCUGGAUGCUGUCUGGGAGGCUUGCUCAUGGUGACAUCCUCAUCUCCCCGUCCACGUUACCGCAUUCAGAGCUUGGGUCACCUGGACACUGAACUCAGGUGAAUUUUCUCUGAGAUCCCGGGAGAAGGAGGACAGUUCUUUGGAAGGUUUUCCAGGGCCGAUCACGGAAAGGAUGAGAAGGGAGAGGUCCUGGUCGGGGACACAAUUAUGGUGUCAGUGUAACGCCGGGAAACUUUAUUGCAUGAAGUCCCUCUCACUCCCUCUACCUCCCUCUUUUACGUGGACUCUGCCAAAGACCAGGAUACCAGAAUGCGGUGGAGAGGCCAAGUGUAGUGAGACCUUGGGAAUGCGAUUCUGGAGCCAGGCGGCUGGGGUUUGCAUCCUGGUUCUGCCCCUCCUUAGCUGGCUGACAUGGCACAAGCCACUUACCCUGUCUGAGCCUUACUGUCUUCAGUGGCAAAUGGAUCUGUCAACAGGCUCCAUUGCCUGGGGUUGUUGCUGCUGAGAUUAAGGGAAGCUCGUCCAUAGAAGCACUUAGCGUUGUGCCUGGCACAUAGUGUAUGGUGGAUAAGUGGGACUUAAGACUAAAACUCAUGCCCUGAUGUGUUUUUGCAGUGAUGUUUUGUUCUGGAGUACGUCACAAGAGACAAGGUUCUUGGCUGGGCA